rnacentral:rRNA from 1 species
GACGAACGCUGGCGGCGUGCUUAACACAUGCAAGUCGAACGGGAUCCGGGCUUUCGGGUUUGGUGAGAGUGGCGAACGGGUGAGUAACACGUGAGUAACCUGCCCCCUUCUUUGGGAUAACGUCGGGAAAUCGGCGCUAAUACUGGAUAUUCUUGCUGCAUCGCAUGGUGUGGUUUGGAAAGGGUUUCUGGUGGGGGAUGGGCUCGCGGCCUAUCAGCUUGUUGGUGGGGUGAUGGCCUACCAAGGCUUUGACGGGUAGCCGGCCUGAGAGGGUGUCCGGCCACACUGGGACUGAGACACGGCCCAGACUCCUACGGGAGGCAGCAGUGGGGAAUAUUGCACAAUGGGCGCAAGCCUGAUGCAGCGACGCCGCGUGAGGGAUGACGGCCUUCGGGUUGUAAACCUCUUUCAGUAUGGAACAAGGAUCCUUCUUUUGGGGGGUUUGAGAGUACGUGCAGAAGAAGCGCCGGCUAACUACGUG